UCCGGGAGCUGCGCGCGGGCGGGAGAGGCAGCGGCGAGCCUGAGCGUGAGGUUGAUAGCUCCCGCUAGGGCAGCACGCGGACGUGGGCGCGAGCGCGGCGAGAGAAGGCCGCUGAGGGGCGGGCUCCGGACCUCGGGUUUCGGCCCUCCUCCUCACCCCCCCCCCCCACAGUCUGACGGUGAAGUUUCUGUCUUGUGUUUAAAGAAUAACUCCAAGCGCGUGGCUGAGUGUGAGCGAGCGUGUAGUGACGUUGGGAGGCGCCGUGGCUUAACCGAACCGCCCCACUCGGCCGUCCCUCGUCUGGACCAAAACUGCUGACUGGCUGACCCUGACGGUCACAUUUGCCCUCUGGGGUUUUAGAAAACCUUAAAUGAAAGUUGCUUUUCUCCCUGGCAACUCCCGAGGCUGCUUCCGCGGCCUCUGGGCUGUGGACAGAUAAGGACGUGAGUUUCCCCGACCAGCUCCUGUGGACACGCCAGCUUUAUACCUGAGCUCUGUGCAUUCUCUUCCCCCACUGCAAUAGCAGUUUCUCCUUGGCCCUUGGAGUGAGCACCCCAGAGAGAGAGACAGAGCACGAGUCAGGGAG